UAUUCAUCAACAUUUUUGCCUAAAAACGAAGGAAGAAGGAUUCGGAUCAGAUUGAAAUCAAACUUUCGUGUGUAGGAGAAACUGUUUUGUCAGUUUGGUUGAGCCCAUGGAUCGAUCUGUGAACCUCCUGGAUCUAGCCUUAGGGUUUGAUGAGCCAUCGCCACUAAGAGGGAAGGUAGUGCUGAUCGAGGACUGUGUGGAGACGAGUGGUUCCUUUGUGCUUCACCAGAUGAUGAAGCGUGUUCUCUCCCCUCAUUCCUCUGAUUCCCUUAUCUUUCUCGCCUUUGCUCGCCCUUUCUCUCAUUACGAUCGAGUUCUGCGUAAACUCGUAAUCAUCCACAAUCCUUCUUUUUUUUCUUUUUUCUUUUUAUGUUCAUGGUUCUCAUUGUCUUACCAUGUUGGUCUGACAGGGAUGCAAUCUAGCUACUCAAAAGACAAACAAUCGAUUGGUUUUCGUUGACAUGCUCAUGAUGCAAUGCUCAGGUAAACUGGUGUUCUCCUAGUCAUUCGAGUGUUAGACGUACUUUUAGUUGGACUGUCGAUGUCUGAGAGUGCCUUGGCCUUAGGGAGAAUUAGGACAUCUCUAGAUCUGGCUCCUAACUUUUGGUUAUCUCGAUUGUUUUAUCACCAUUUCUUCUUUGAAAGCGACCACUUAAGCAAAUAUAGUAGCAUAUUGACUCUGCUCCCUGCAAAUCAGAUUUGGAAUAAUAUAAUUUUUUUUUUAACACAGAUAAUGAGAGUGGAGUUGCGAAGCUAUUUCGGGAGAUACAAGGAACAGUUGGAAAGCUACGCAGUGUGACUAAUAGCAACAUAACUGUUAUGGUGGAUGACAUGUCUCUCCUGGAAAUUGCUGCUGCCAAUAGCAAUUCAGAUCACGUCUUGGACUUCCUUCAUUACUGCCACACCUUAACUUCUGAAAGCGUAAGCUUUAUUCUUCUUUACUCUAUUAACCCCUUCUUAAUAACUUUUUUUCUCUACCAACAGAAUUGUUCGGUGGUCACUCUCAAUCACGAAGAUAUAUACUCGAGCAUGGAGAGACCUGCGUAUUUGCUACAGAUGGUAUGCCUUGCGGAUAUUGUGAUAAAAGCAGAGCCUUUAGCCUCAGGUUUAGCAAAUGACGUACAUGGCCAAGUAAAUCUCUCCUCCUCCUCCUUUUCUUUGGAAUCAUUAGAAACUAAUCUUUUGUGUUUGGCGUAAUACUAAUACAGCUGACAGUUGUGAACAAGGGGAUGAUAAGCAGCAAGUCGGGAAAAGGAAGCUCGAGGAACAAGUUGCAGAAUUUUCAAUUCAGGAUCAAGGAAAAUGGUAUUGAGUAUUUCUACCCUGGUUGCAGCAGAAACUGAGAGGAUUUGGAGAUAGUUUUUGACGGUUAUAAAUGUUGUAUGUUAGUGAGAUAUGCAGCUAAGACACGUGUGUGUGUGUGUGCGCUUUGGCAUAUGGAUGAGGAUUCUUUGACGGUUAUAAACUGAGGAUUCUUUGACUUGGUCGAAACACUGUUUUUCUUCUUUAAAAUUGGUUUAAACGGGCUUUAUUCUACAAAGUAUUGUUUCGUAGUAUUUUAUCCGGGUCGGGUUUAGUGUAACCGGAUCCUAAAUUCGUAACGAAAGAGAGAAGUCUCAUUCGUUUUCAACACCGACCAUUGGAGGGGGUCUAAUGUAUGGCUGGGACCUGUUUGGUGACGUGGAGAAAUAUAAUUGGUUAAAAAGUAAAUAAGAGUUAAGAGGGUUGGCUCUUCUGAUUUGGCGGCUAGUCUCUGAAAUUCCAUCGAUUCCAACGGAUCAUUCUCUCUCUCUCUACAAUUAUUCUUCCUUCCUUUUAUCUUUUUUGUUUUUCAUAUCUCUCUCUCUGCCUGACUCCGAGAAACCAUCAUCUCCAUUUUGUUUUUUUUUUAAGUAGCCAAGUUUCUCGGAGAUCGGGGCUUUUCUUCUCCUUGAUCCGUCUCAGAUUUCUUGCUUAAUAUGGAGAAUGUAAUCGAAUAAAAUAAAUAGCCUUUUUUAACCUCUAGGAGUUUCAUGGGGAUUUGCUUUAGCGCUCAAGGGCAGUUCCAAUUCUCUCAAAACCAAAACUCCUCUCAGAAGAAGACACCAGGACCAGGUAUCUCAAUCUUAUCACAUCGGAUUCGGAUCUCCUUUAAAAAAAACAAAUUGAAUUUUGCAGUGUAUCUAAUGAAUACGGAUUGUAAAGAGUCGUCGUCGUCGGUGGGUGGGAAACCGAGUCCAAGCGGUUUGCCUUUGCCUCCGAAAAACAUCAAAGAUCUGCAGUCCAAUCCUGGUUACGAGAACGUCGACAUCUUCACCUACGAGGAGAUGAAGUUAGCCACCAAGCAGUUCAGGCCUGAUUUCAUCCUCGGCGAGGGUGGUUUCGGCGUCGUCUACAAAGGUCUCGUUGAUGAGACCGUGCGGCCUGGUUACAACUCCACCAAAGUUGCUAUCAAAGAACUUAAUCCAGAGGGCUUUCAGGGAGAUCGCGAGUGGCUGGUAUAUAUGUGUAAUUGUGCUAUGUAUCUAGAGAGAGUUAUGUUUUUUCAAAGUGUUUGAUUUUUGUUGUUGUAGGCUGAAGUUAACUAUUUAGGACAGCUUAGUCAUCCCAACUUGGUCAAGCUUAUUGGCUACUGCUGUGAAGAUGACCACAGGUUGUUAGUCUAUGAAUACAUGUCAUUGGGAAGCCUCGAGAAACAUCUCUUUCGAAGUAUGUUUCUGUUUUCCUCCUUUGUUUGUUUGUGAUUUAAGUCUUUAUAUAAUAUGAAAUGUUUCUUUCUCUUGGCAGGAGUUGGUUGCACUUUGACAUGGUCCAAACGAGUGAAGAUCGCUCUACACGCAGCCAAGGGUCUCGCCUUUCUUCAUGGUGCUGAACGCUCCGUCAUCUAUCGAGAUCUCAAGACUGCCAACAUAUUGCUCGACGAGGUCUGCUCUGUUUUCAGAUUUUAGAAUUGUUAGUGAAGUUACUACAGUCUUGUUUCGAUUUGUCUGUCUAUGCUGCCCCCCCUCCUGAAAGGUGUAAUGCUUGUGCAGUGUUACAAUGCUAAACUCGCUGACUUUGGACUAGCCAAAGAUGGCCCCAGCGGAGAUCAAACGCAUGUGUCAACACGUGUUAUGGGCACUUACGGAUACGCUGCUCCUGAGUAUGUUAUGACAGGUCUGUCUGUCUUUGCUAAUUUUCCAUUCCCACUUUUCAUAGCUGUUUUUAAAAUGACUCUAUUUGUUGUUGUAAUUAGGGCAUUUGACAUCGAGAAGUGAUGUUUAUGGAUUUGGGGUUCUUCUCCUUGAGAUGCUCCUUGGGAAAAGGGCAAUGGACAAAAGCAGACCUUGCCGGGAGCAUAACUUGGUCGAGUGGGCAAGACCGCUACUCAAUCACAACAAAAAGCUUUUGAGGAUCAUAGACCCUCGAAUGGAUGGGCAGUACACCACCAAGGCGUUGAUGAAAGUAGCUGAUUUGGCAUACCAAUGCUUAAGCCAAAACCCGAAAGGAAGACCCCUCAUGAGUCAUGUAGUAGAAGUCCUCGAGACUCUCAAGGAGGACGGUAAUGCCCAAGAGGAAGUCAUGGCUAAUCUCCAUAGCAGAGGCAAGUCUGUAACUUUAUAUCAAGCAGCUCCUUGUGAUUCUUCCCAAGGCACAAGAAACGUUGAUGGACAGAGGAGGAGUGGUAGAAGCAAGAGCGAAGCUUCCGUGGAUGUUUCUGCUCUUGUUUCAGACUCGGAUCCGGAAUCUACCAAAGUUUAAGACUCAAAACAAGAAAGAUUCACAAGUGAAUUGAGGAUUUAUGAUCAAGAAAGGUAGCAGAGUUGGGUUAAGUGUAUAAAUAAGCUGAGUCUUCGUUUUGGGGAUCCUUUUUUUCUCUUUUUAAUCUUUUUGGGGAUUACGAAUAUUAGUGCAAUAUGCAAUUUGAUCAACCUUUGAAAUUCAAAUGGAUUUUUGUUUUGAUCAAAGAAAAUGGUAUAUUUGACAAACUGAUUGCAUAACUUGGUAAUGCAUAGCAAUAUUAUAUAGCAUAUGAUAGGAGCACAUGUGUCUCUAUUCUUGUUUUGGUACAUAACAUGAUAAGACGCUGUCAGUUUGGUUGAGCCCAUGGAUCGAUCUGUGAACCUCCUGGAUCUAGCCUUAGGGUUUGAUGAGCCAUCGCCACUAAGAGGGAAGGUAGUGCUGAUCGAGGACUGUGUGGAGACGAGUGGUUCCUUUGUGCUUCACCAGAUGAUGAAGCGUGUUC
rnacentral:lncRNA from 1 species